rnacentral:rRNA from 1 species
UACGUAGGGGGCAAGCGUUGUCCGGAAUCAUUGGGCGUAAAGAGCGUGUAGGCGGCUCGAUAAGUCUGCUGUGAAAGUCCAGGGCUCAACCCUGGAAGGCCGGUGGAAACUGUCGGGCUAGAGUCCGGAAGAGGCGAGUGGAAUUCCGGGUGUAGCGGUGAAAUGCGCAGAUAUCGGGAGGAACACCAAUGGCGAAGGCAGCUCGCUGGGACGUGGACUGACGCUGAGACGCGAAAGCGUGGGGAGCAAACAGG